ensembl:lncRNA
CAGGAGACUCGGGUUCAAUUUCCGGAUCAGACAGAUCCCCUGGAGAAGGAAAUGGCAAUCCACUCAAGCACUCUUGCCUGGAAAAUCCCAUAGACAGAGGAGCCUGAUUGGCUACAGUCCAUGGGGUCGCAAAGAGUCGGACACGACUGAGCGACAUAUGCAAUCACCUGAUCCAUGCAAUCUGAAUUCAACUAUGGAACCAAAGACACCAGCACUGUCCAGCCCCCGUCCUGGUCAUCAACGUUUGCCAGAGGAAUUGCAUGAACUAAAUACAGAGUUUUGUGAUGAAAGUGUAACAUACUCAGAACUCAAAGUUCGUGAUUCUUCAAAUAUUCAGAAGAGAAAACUAACUAGGAUUUGGAAAACAAAAGAGUCUCCAUGGUGCAUUGCUACAGUGAUAUUUGCCUUGCUUUAUUUAAUUGUUCUUGCACUAGCUGCAUUUAUGAUAGCUAAAGUUAAUUGUCUAGAAGAAAUUCUGAAUACACAGCAAAACAAUAAGUCAAUUGUGGCUGGACUUUGCAACACAAUAUAGCAAAACAGAGGUAAUUGGUCCUUCUCUGAAGAAAAUUGAUAUCUUAUUUCUGCUGAAAAUAAGAUCUUGGCAGCAAGGAAAUUGUCCUGAAGCCCUGAGCUCCAGUCUUAUCAAGACAUAAAGAAGAACUGGAAAUGUAUGGCACAAUAACUCUCCUUACAUUUUCUUAUACAGAAGAUAAUUACAGAGACAAUUUUAACAUUUUGUGUUCAUUCAAGCAUGCUAAACUCAACAUAUUGUAAUAACUGGAGAUCUCUUAAUCAAACCCAAACAUCAAAAUAUGGGCUUAAAUGGUUAUGUGAUUUUUAAAUUUUAAAUAUAUUUGUACAUAAAAGUAAAUGCUAAUAUAUUAAAAUCUCAGACCCUGGUAAAUAAACGAGAGGAAACCACAUAGCACAUAUGCACUAAGGAGCAUUUAGUCACAAUCAGCACUUAAAAAAUACCUAACAUUUAUUGAUUGCUUCUAAUGUUCCCAAUACUACUUCAAUGAAUCACAUAUUAGAUCAUGUACUGCCCCAAUAAUUCCUACAAAAGUGUAUUAUCUUUAUGGAUGUCAUAUUAAUAAAGAAACUGAGACCCAGAAAGAAUGAGGAAUUUUCCAAAGUUGUAUAGCUAGUAAAAAAUAGAAACAUAAUUUAAGCCAAGAUAGGUUUACUCUAGAGAUUACACAUGGAAACUUUAUGCUAUGCUGACCUCAGAACAAUAAGUAAUGUCAGAUCAAGAUGUAAAAAUAUUGCUUCUUCAGAAAUAAUGAGGGCUGCAGAUUUACAUUUCCCCCUGGCUGUAUCUUUCAGAGAGAAACAAAUGAGAAAAAUAACUUUCAAGAAUGAAAUAUUAUACUAGCUCUUUUUAUAAAGAGUAUGUUAUGAAUAUUUUAUACUAAUCAUUCUCUGGAAUAUGGAAGAAAGAGACUAAUAAAAGUGAUAUUUUUCACCUUAGUAGACUCCAGCAAGCUUAAAGAAUAUAGGUUUCCUUUAUUUUUAGUUCUCAUCUACUAUGUGACUGUAUAUUAUUUCUUUUUUUAUUGCAUUCAAGUUCUGUUAUUGCCUUUAAUAAAGACUUCCGUCUAUAGCAUGAUGAUAAGUUGAUGGCAUAUAUGCUGACAAUUUCCAUAUGAUGCCCUUGGGAGACACACCUCAUAAUUUCAGCAUUCCUCCCUGCCAAGGCUGGCCUCUGCUCUAAAUAAUUCCUGACAAUCUUUCCCAGUUGCAUUGCUCCCAUCUCAACCACACAAAAUGCUCUAAAUUGAAUUUAUAUACACAGAUAAUUGGGCUUCCCAGGGCUCAAUGAUAAAGAAUCUGCUUACCAAUGUAGGAGACGCAGGAGACAUGGGUUUGAUCCCUGGGUUGGGAAGAUGCCCUGGAGGAGAAAAGCCAACCCACUCCAGUACGCUUGCCUGAAAAAUCCUAUGGACAGAGGAGUCUGAUGGGCCACAGUCUAUAGAGUUGCAAAGAGUCAGACACCAUUAAGUGACUGAGCAUGCAUACAUAUCAAUAGUGAACUCUUUCCUCUUUCAGGAAAAACAAUUUUAAAAAUGUAUAAACAAAGUAACACAUUUGUUAAGGCAGUGUCUCCUAAUGAUCCCUUACCUCAAAAUGUGAUUUUGUAAAUACAGGUUACCCAUAACUUACAGUGGAAUAGCUAAUGUCUGUGAAUAUCCCAAAACUGAUAGAGGACAUCAAACUACACAAUGCCAAAGCAUUCCGAAUUCCUGUCUGGUGAACAAAAUAAAAACAAUGUUACGUAUAUCAUGCUUAAUUGCUGAAAACCAAAGAUAAAUGGAAGCUGAAAGGCAGGCAGUAAAAUACAGAAUUUAUAUAUUUGUAUAUUUAUUUUUUAAUGCUUUUUUUUUUGGUCUUUACUGAGUUUGUCAUAACAUUGCUUCUGUUUUCUGUUUUGGUUUUUUUUUGCCCACGAGGCACACGGGACCUGAGCUCCCUGACCAGGGAUUAAACCCACAUCCUCUGCAUUGUAAAGUCGAGUCUUAACCACUGGACAAACAGGGAAGUCCAGAAUUUACUUUUAAAGAAGGAAUUAGUAGCUAAUAUCUAAAAAGAAAAAAGAAAGCAUGGACGUAUUGAAAGACAAUUGUUUUACAAAACUCUAUCCCCAGAGAAAAGAUAAUUAUAUGAGAAUCAUAUGAAGAUAUACUUAUAUUCCAUAGGUGAAAUAAAGAUAAUUUAAGAUAGGCAGAGAAAAAUUGUCAUUACCUUAGGUCUAUGCUAAGGAUAUACUAUAAGGUCCAUUAGAAAAUAAUCCCAAAUGGAACCUCUAAGAUUCAGGAUAAAGGGCAAUGAAAUAGGUAAAUGCAGGUAUAAAUCUAAAUGAAUAGUUAUAACAUAAAACCAUAAUAUUAGUGUCUAUAGUUUAAAAUUGCAUAAGCUUGAACUACACUGUAAAUGUUGCAUUUAAAUUAAAAGGAGGAUAUGGAGUUAAAAGGACCUAAGGCUAUGGCCCAGAGAGUAAAGAAUCUGCCUGCAAGGUAGACAUGCAGGUUAAAUCUCUGGGUCAGGAAGAUCCACUGGAAAUAUUGCUUGGGAAAGCCUAUGGACAGAGGAGACUGGGGAACUACAGUCCACAUGAUCACAAAAGAGUUGGAUGUGCAGCAAAAACAACAAGAAGGCUAUUAAAAUGUCUAAGAAGAGGUAAAGGAAUUAUUUAUCUUGGGCAUUACUAGGUCAAGAAUGCAUGUUGAGUGGGAGGGGGGUUCAUAUUUGGAAAAGCAUGUACACUCAUGGUGGAUUCAUGUCAAUGUAUGGCAAAACCAAUACAAUAUUGUAAAGUAAAAUAAAGUAAAAAUAAAAAUUAAAAAAUAUAUAUAAUAGAAAAAUAAAAUAAAAUAAAAC